AAAUUUAGGAGUGUUCAAUUUUCGUGUUGGUGGAUUCAAAGUUUUGAGUAGGAUUAGUUGAUCAUAUGGGGUAGGUAUCAUUUGGAUUGCUGCUGCAUCUGCAGUUGCUGACCAUUCUGUUUGUUCUUGUUCAAGGAUGAGGAGCAAGUGACAGACUGACAAGUCAGCCGGGGGAUGACAUGGCGAUUUGCUGGUUCGACUUCUCCUUCCUUCGAAGAUCAGUAUUUUUCCUCAUGAAACAUGUGGCACGUACUUGCCAUGGAUCUGGAGAUAUAUCUAGCAGUAGCAUAGCAGAAUGUACACAAUGCAGAGGUCAAGUCAGGUCGAUGAAAUCGAAGACGACACCCUUUUGGUAUAUAGUAUCUCAGCUCAAGGUUUUCUUCCACUUGUACUUUUACAUAAAUUAAUUCUCUUCCCUUCCCUUAAUAGAAUCUUCCGCAAUUGGUUCAGUGUUGCCAAAUGGCCAUUAUUUUUUCUCUCUGGUUUACAGGUGGGAAUAAUUACUGAAUCAAAACCCAUAAUUGAUACUGUUACUUUCCAAUUUCGACAAGAUUUUGAUGAUCUGGCUUUGAGGACUAGAGUGCUCAGUUGAUUGUACAUGAAGCAUGCAAACCUAAAGCAUAGACGAAAAGGAGGCGCACAUAGUCCUAGCUAGUAAUUGCCCGUUUAAGCACCCCAUCUAUGAACCAAACUGUACUCACUUAUCCUGAAAAGGAGAAACCCCAACAUUUUUUCCAUCAUGGGAUUAGUGUGCAGACACUUGCUUUAUUGUUCUUGAUGUAUCUAUAAUCCUGUGAUACCUUUCAAUGCCAAUUAACUUUGGUUAACAUGAUACUCCUAGCUUAUAAUGAUGUUUCUGCUUGAUGCAUCGUGAACAGGUGUGGGUCUAUAAGAAAACAUCUGAGGAGGAAUUCCAUACUUUCACGAAGGCUCCUCCAAGUGAUAAAUUUGCCUACCAUGAAGUCAAAGUGGAUUAUGAGUUCAAAAGCUUUCUAGAACCAGACACAGUUGUUUCACCAGAUCAAAGAAUCAGGGGCUAUCUUUAAUGAUAAUCAACUGAGCACUCUAGUCCGCAGAUCAAAGUGGAGAGGUCCCCUGCCUUCCAAUUUCGACAAGAUUUUGAUGAUCUGGCUUUGAGGACUAGAGUGCUCAGUUGAUUAUCAUUAAAGUUGAUGAAGCUUUCAAAGACAUAUAACUUGGCGGGAAGUUGCGUACUGUUAUCAGGAGUGGAUAGUUUCAUAGACAGAUGGCGAACUUUUUGUUGAACUUUUCUUCAAUGUUUGCGAGAUCCGUCGUGCCACUACACCCGUCUGUCCCCCAUGGCUUCUUCUGUUUGCAACUGAAGCUAUUGUUCCGGUUGCAGCACUAUUAUUGUUCCAAAUCUGGCAUUUCAGUAAUGUUUUUGCCCUUUGGUGUAGGAAGUUUGUACUGUUUCAAAUCUUUACAACAACCUCUAUAUUAAUUGUCUGGUCCAUUUACACUGACAAUGCAGCAAAUUCUGACACAGCACAGGAAAUGCCAUGAAGCUACAGACGACAGUCAGAAUUACGGUAUCCAAUACAGUGUGGGUCUAUAAGAAAACAUCUGAGGAGGAAUUCCACACUUUCAAGAAGGCUCCUCCAAGUGAUAAAUAUGCCAAGCAUGAAGCCAAAGUGGAUUAUGAGUUCAAAAGCUUUCUAGAACCAGACACAGUUGUUUCACCAGAUCAAAGAAUCAGGGGCUAUCUUUAUGGUCCUCAAGUUGUUCCUAUAUCAUCAGCUGAAUGGGAGGCUGUGAAGUUCAAAUCAGAGAAGGUGUGAAGCUUCUAGGUUUCACAGAUAGAUCCAGCGUUCCAUGGUAUCGGAUAUCUUUCAACCAGGAAGAAGAGCAAGGGAGGUUAGCAACCAGAGGAGAUUUAAUGAAGUUUGUUACACCACGAAACAUCAGACUACAGACACCCAGGCACAGAUUUGUGAAGCACAUCCAUCCUACAGCUAGGAGUCCAUGCUCCUAACCACCUACCCAUGAGAGAGGAGCUAUGGUGACAAGUUCCAGCAGCGUUGAGCUGGAGCCUGGAGCUGCCGGCGGACCGCGAGACCCCGAGAGUCGAGACGGUGAGCCGGGGAGCAGGUCUUCCCCUCCCUGCUGCAGCACGAACCUAGCCGCAAGGUGCUGUGUUUCAUCGGUUGGGUCAAAGAACAUUAGACAAAUAACCAGUUUCAUCGGUUUGGUCACAGAACAGUAGGCAAUAAGAACACUGAUUUCCAUGCCUACUGCUGGAGCGGCGGCGGACAGGGGCGAGGAGGUGAACCAGGAGGAUGGGACAGUGUCGAGGAGGAGCCCAAGUGGGAGAGGUCCCCUGCCUUCCACGAGGGAGACAGGGAGGGAAGGCCAGAAUUUUGAUUUCAUAUUGUAAGGACCCAUCGAGAAGAAUUGGAUUGACGAGGGGUUUUCUGUAAAUGUGCAUUACUUGUAACCUCCCGACAUUAAUGUUAUAAUGCAAGCACCUCAUAUCCUACAUCA